rnacentral:lncRNA from 1 species
CCACCACCGCCGCCGCCGCCGCCUCCUCCCCCUCCAUGCCCAUCCAUCCCUCGCCGCCGCCGCUCCCCGCCGCCUCCCUCCCACCCCUCAAUUUCCCGCAGAUCUUCUCCUCCUCCGUUUCAAAUCCCCCCCAAGGCCGCGCAGCACACAGAUCGAACAAUACAGGAGCAGAGGCAGAGCAGGAGUGGGUGGAGCGGAGAGAAGAGA